rnacentral:rRNA from 1 species
GAUGAACGCUGGCGGCGUGCCUAAUACAUGCAAGUCGAGCGAACAGACGAGGAGCUUGCUCCUCUGACGUUAGCGGCGGACGGGUGAGUAACACGUGGAUAACCUACCUAUAAGACUGGGAUAACUUCGGGAAACCGGAGCUAAUACCGGAUAAUAUAUUGAACCGCAUGGUUCAAUAGUGAAAGACGGUUUUGCUGUCACUUAUAGAUGGAUCCGCGCCGCAUUAGCUAGUUGGUAAGGUAACGGCUUACCAAGGCAACGAUGCGUAGCCGACCUGAGAGGGGGUCGGGCCACAGGGAACGGGAGCCGCGGCCCAGGCCCCUAGGGGGGGCAGAAGUGGGGACUCUUCGCAAAUGGGGGAAAGCCUGAAGAGGCAGCGCCGGGGGGGUGAUGAAGUGCUGCGGACGGUAAAACUCUGUUAUUGGGGAAAACCAAAUGUGUAGGUAACUAUGCGCGUUUGAGGGGAACGUAUAAAGAAACCCCGGGUAAAUACCGU